rnacentral:rRNA from 1 species
AUUGAACGCUGGCGGAAUGCUUUACACAUGCAAGCCGAACGGCAGCACGGGGGCAACCCUGGUGGCGAGUGGCGAACGGGUGAGUAAUACAUCGGAACGUGCCCAGUCGUGGGGGAUAACGUAGCGAAAGUUACGCUAAUACCGCAUACGAUCUACGGAUGAAAGCGGGGGACCGUAAGGCCUCGCGCGAUUGGAGCGGCCGAUGUCAGAUUAGGUAGUUGGUGAGGUAAAGGCUCACCAAGCCGACGAUCUGUAGCUGGUCUGAGAGGACGACCAGCCACACUGGGACUGAGACACGGCCCAGACUCCUACGGGAGGCAGCCGUGGGUAAUGUUGGACAAGGGGCGCAAGCCUGCUCCAGCCAUUCCGCGUGCAGGACGAAGGCCUUCGGGUUGUAAACUGCUUUUGUACGGAACGAAAAGGCUCUGGUUAAUCCCUGGGGCUCAUGACGGUACCGUAAGAAUAAGCACCGGCUAACUACGUGCCAGCAGCCGCCGUAA